rnacentral:rRNA from 1 species
CAGUAGCCACGGGAAUACGAAGGGGGCUAGCGUUGCUCGGAAUGACUGGGCGUAAAGGGCGCGUAGGCGGUUUGUACAGUUAGAUGUGAAAUCCCCGGGCUCAACCUGGGAACUGCAUUUGUGACUGGCAAGCUAGAGUGUGGCAGAGGGGGGUGGAAUUCCGCGUGUAGCAGUGAAAUGCGUAGAUAUGCGGAGGAACACCGAUGGCGAAGGCAGCCCCCUGGGCCAACACUGACGCUCAUGCACGAAAGCGUGGGGAGCAAACAGGAUUAGAUACCCCAGUAGUCCCUGUCUCUUAUAC